GACGAACGCUGGCGGCGUGCUUAACACAUGCAAGUCGAACGGUGAAGCGCCUUCCUUUUUGGUGGGUGUGGAUGAGUGGCGAACGGGUGAGUAACACGUGAGUAACCUGCCCCCUUCUUCUGGAUAACCGCAUGAAAGUGUGGCUAAUACGGGAUAUUCUGGGUCUGUCGCAUGAUGGGUCUGGGAAAGAUAUUGUUUCGGUGGGGGAUGGGCUCGCGGCCUAUCAGCUUGUUGGUGGGGUGGUGGCCUACCAAGGCGGGGACGGGUAGCCGGCCUGGGAGGGGGGCCGGCCACAGGGGUACGGGGACCCGCCCCCACUUCCUUGGGGGGGGGGCGGGGGGAGAAAUUGACAAAGGGGGGAAGGCUGGAGCCCGGGAGGCCGGGUGAGGGAGGGGGGCUGUGGGGUUGGAACCUUUUUUGGGAGGGAAGGAGGGCCUCCCUUUUUUGGGGGGGGUUGAAGGGAAGUGGGAAAAGAAGGCCCGGCAACCUCCGU
rnacentral:rRNA from 1 species